AUUGAACGCUGGCGGCAGGCUUAACACAUGCAAGUCGAGCGGAGAUGAGGUGCUUGCACCUUAUCUUAGCGGCGGACGGGUGAGUAAUGCUUAGGCAUCUGCCUAUUAGUGGGGGACAACAUUCCGAAAGGAAUGCUAAUACCGCAUACGUCCUACGGGAGAAAGCAGGGGAUCUUCGGACCUUGCGCUAAUAGAUGAGACUAAGUCGGAUUAGCUAGUUGGUGGGGUAAAGGCCCACCAAGGCGACGAUCUGUAGCGGGUCUGAGAGGAUGAUCCGCCACACUGGGACUGAGACACGGCCCAGACUCCUACGGGAGGCAGCAGUGGGGAAUAUUGGACAAUGGGGGAAACCCUGAUCCAGCCAUGCCGCGUGUGUGAAGAAGGCCUUAUGGUUGUAAAGCACUUUAAGCGAGGAGGAGGCUACUGAGACUAAUACUCUUGGAUAGUGGACGUUACUCGCAGAAUAAGCACCGGCUAACUCUGUGCCAGCCGCCGCCGUAA
rnacentral:rRNA from 1 species